UAACAUUGUGCUAAUAAGUUGUUAGGAUUGUGCUAAUAAGGGUGAAGAAAAUUUCAGAAUGCUUGAGAAAAUGAGAAGUGAUCAUUCUUAUUGGAUUAUGCAAAGCUUUUGUUUCAUUUACCUUGAGAAAAACAAUUAUUUGUUACCCAAACCACAUUACAACCCUUUAAAGCCCUUGUGAUUUUUUCCUUUAUACUUUCAAUAUGACUUUCUUAGAUGAAUGCAUACUUAGAAUUUAUGUUAGCAAGAUUG
rnacentral:lncRNA from 1 species